rnacentral:rRNA from 1 species
ACUCCUACGGGAGGCAGCAGUGGGGAAUAUUGCACAAUGGGCGCAAGCCUGAUGCAGCCAUGCCGCGUGUGUGAAGAAGGCCUUCGGGUUGUAAAGCACUUUCAGUCGUGAGGAAGGUAGUGUAGUUAAUAGCUGCAUUAUUUGACGUUAGCGACAGAAGAAGCACCGGCUAACUCCGUGCCAGCAGCCGCGGUAAGUACGGAGGGUGCGAGCGUUAAUCGGUAAUUACUGGGCGUAAAGCGCAUGCAGGUGGUUGUUAAGUCAGAUGUGAAAGCCCGGGGCUCAACCUCGGAAUAGCAUUUGAAACUGGCAGACUAGAGUACUGUAGAGGGGGUAGAAUUUCAGGUGUAGCGGUGAAAUGCGUAGAGAUCUGAAGGAAUACCGGUGGCGAAGGCGGCCCCUGGACAGUAUACUGACACUCAGAUGCGAAAGCGUGGGAGCAAACAGGAUUAGAUA